AGCCCACACAUCACUGCCCAGCUAGAGGCUCCAUUUCCCAGGCUCCCUCAUGGUCAAGCUCCCCACAAGCUGAGCGCUGACAUGGUGGUGACCCUGCACUCACACACCGCCCCCACGCAGACAAGGAUAACUCUGGGAGACGGUGGAAAGACAAGACAGAAAAGGCCUGGGUCCAGCGCUAGUGUCCCACCAGUGGAAACAGCUUGUCUCUGGAUUCUUCUAAGGGGAUUUGCAGGUGACGGCAUGCCUCAGAGCAUGGGCAGGAAGAGGGGCCCAGGCCAGGCUUGGCAUCUGGAAGCGACCAACUCAGGUCCUCUGGCAAGUCUUUGGGAACUCUUUCAUUGGAGACCCC